GGGAGAUAAUGAAGAUUCCUUUAUCCAGAGUCUUGACUGAAGAGCGAAGAGUGUGGCAUUAUACGAGAACUGAAGAACCAACAGUGAAAUCAAUUUAUCAUAUUUUGAAGUCUAAGCAAUGAACAACUGAUAGUCAUAUUGCUUCUUCAUAUUCCAAUGCUAUGGGGAUUUUUUCUUGGAUGAAGUUCUGGAAUCUUACCGUAGCCCCAAAAAUAUGCAAUUUUAUUUGGUACGUCUGUAUUGAUGCCUUGGCUACGAAAGUAAAUGUCUUCAAGAGGCAUUGCUCUCUGUCAAUUAUUUUCCCUGUAUGUAACGAGCAAGAAGAAUGUAUAGAACAUCUGUUCUUUUUUUGUGAGCAUUCUUGGGCUACCUUGUUUGGUUCUCCUUUGGGUUUCUGGCUUACUGUUAAGGGAAUUUCC
rnacentral:misc_RNA from 1 species